AGCGACAGGCCUAACACAUGCAAGUCGAGGGGCAGCACAAGGAGCAAUCUGAGGUGGCGACCGGCGGCACGGGUGAGUAACACGUAUGCAACCUGCCUGUAAGCGGGGAAUAACCCGUUGAAAGACGGACUAAUACCGCAUAAUACUAAAUUACUGCAUGGUAAUUAUUUAAACAUUUAUGGCUUACAGAUGGGCAUGCGCAUGAUUAGCUAGUUGGAGAGGUAACGGCUCCCCAAGGCAACGAUCAUUAGGGGUUCUGAGAGGAAGGUCCCCCACACUGGUACUGAGACACGGACCAGACUCCUACGGGAGGCAGCAGUGAGGAAUAUUGGUCAAUGGACGAGAGUCUGAACCAGCCAAGUCGCGUGCAGGAAGAAUGUUCCCUAUGGAUUGUAAACUGCUUUUGCAGGGGAAUAAAGUGCAUCACGUGUGAUGUUUUGUAUGUACUCUGCGAAUAAGGAUCGGCUAACUCCGUGCCAGCCGCAGC
rnacentral:rRNA from 1 species